rnacentral:rRNA from 1 species
GGGUUUGACAUCUCGGGAAUCUUGUGGAAACACGAGAGUGCCUUCGGGGAGCCCGAAGACAGGUGCUGCACGGCUGUCGUCAGCUCGUGUCGUGAGAUGUUGGGUUAAGUCCCGCAACGAGCGCAACCCCUAUCUCUAGUUGCCAGCGAUUCGGUCGGGGACUCUAGAGAUACUGCCCCGGUUAACGGGAGGAAGGUGGGGAUGACGUCAAGUCCUCAUGGCCCUUAUGCCCAGGGCUACACACGUGCUACAAUGGGCGGUACAAAGGGUAGCGAUGCCGCGAGGUGAAGCCAAUCCCAAAAAGCCGUCCACAGAUCGGAUUGGAGUCUGCAACUCGACUCCAUGAAGCCGGAAUCGCUAGUAAUCGUGGAUCAGCAUGCCACGGUCGAAUACGUUCCCGGGCCUU